AAAUUGAAGAGUUUGAUCAUGGCUCAGAUUGAACGCUGGCGGCAGGCCUAACACAUGCAAGUCGAACGGUAACAGGAAACAGCUUGCUGUUUCGCUGACGAGUGGCGGACGGGUGAGUAAUGUCUGGGAAACUGCCUGAUGGAGGGGGAUAACUACUGGAAACGGUAGCUAAUACCGCAUAAUGUCGCAAGACUAAAGAGGGGGACCUUCGGGCCUCUUGCCAUCGGAUGUGCCCAGAUGGGAUUAGCUAGUAGGUGGGGU
rnacentral:rRNA from 1 species